CAAAAUCAAAUAUUCAAUUAUAAAUAGUAAAUUAGGUCAAAACAAAACAAAGCUUUACUGCUUUAGUUUGCAAAUUGAAAUUGCAUUUGCUUCUCCUACUCACUCCGCAACCUUCAGCAAAAAGUUGGUCAAAAACUCAAAAACGAAGAACGAAGGAAACAACAUAGUACGAACGGACAAAGGGAAUCAGUCACCUGUCUAACGAGAAACGGUAACAGCGGCGAACGAAGGUACUUUUCUAUUUUUUUUGUUUUUCUUGUUCUUCCCAUUCUGUCAAUUAAUUUUCAUGUUGUAAGUGAUAUCUUGGUUGCAUAAUUUCUCUGAUGAGAAAAGAUCGAUGAGAAAAUAUCUUCGCUUGAUUCCAAUCCAUUCUACUCAUUUAUUGUUACUAUAGUUCUUUACUAGCAAUAAGUUGACAUACUAUUUGAAUACUAGUGAAUUCUACUUUGCAGGCCUAUUAAUAUGAUAUGGAUUAGUGAUUUUCUUUGAAGUUUGUGACCUUUGGAUUUUGAAUUUUAGGGUAUAUCCUUUCUUUCUGAUUGCUUUCGUAAAGCUUACAAUUAUGUUAAUAUUAAGAUACUAUUAUUUAAGACUUGGAGUAUUGUGGUCAUUAUAUUAAAAUUUUAUAAUUUUUAGGCUAAUUAUAGUGAAGUUUUUCAUUAUUAAAAGGUACAUGACAUAUUAUUCAUUAUUUCCUUACUGGAAUGAAAUUUGUAUUGUUGCAAUGACAAAAAUAGGUUUGUUCAUAUGUACGGCAAUGACAAAACUGUAUUAUUUCCUUACUAGCACUAUUAAUUUUAUUUUCUCUUUCAAUUUUACAUAGAUGGAUGAUGAAAGUCGAGUUAGUGCGGUUGGUUCAACAUAUAGCGUACCCGAUAAAAGAAAUGACAACUCAAUUGACAUUGCUGUCAAUUUUCUAGAAUCAAGUGAUUAGAAGUCCCUUUGUGUACAACACUGGAAAUGAUUUAAGGGUUCUUGGCAUGUGACAUUUGCAAUGCAAAAUGGAAAAUGGAACAUAGCAUAAGUGGAACAGUUGUUGGCUUACAACAAGACUUCAUAAGUGGCUCAUACAGUCAUGCAUUUAUAGAAAAUACAAUAAUCAAGGUGCUAAAAUGGGACAAUUACAAAACCGAUAAACCAAAUUUAUUAACUAAAAACAUAACCAAACCGAACUGAAAUAAACCGAAUCGAACCGAAUUAUGGUAUACCUAAAUAGAAAACCAAAUUAAAAAAAAUAAAAUCAAACCGUAUUCCCGAAUGCCCACCUCUAUUUUUUGGUGUAGGUUCCUAAAAAUAUGGAGAACAUGUUUUCGAAAUAAAGUUUCGAUUUUGCCCUUUUUAUUGGAAACCCAUUUUGGGGGUCCGAACCAAAAGUAGUCAAUAUGGGUGUCGUUGAUUUUGUCUUAAUGCGUAGAUUUCAUAUUUGAUAUUUUUAGUGGAGUUCGGGAUUAUUCGUGAAAAGUAAGGUCACAGGUUCAAGUGUAGCGGAUCGAUUUUGGCUUUCGAGAUAGGUUGUGGCUUAAAUCUUUCAAACUGGGCUGGGUAGUAAAUGAUGAUAGAAAAUUCACGUUAAUCAUGAAAAAUGGCUAUCUAUGUGUUGUGCCCGUGUGGGCGCGUAUAUGUGAUUAAUUAUCAAAAUUGAGAAAUUAUGUGAUAUAUUUAAUCGUGUGGGGUCCUAUGUGAUAUUGAUACCUUUGAAUACAUAUGAAUAAUUAUAUUGUGUUGUUUAAUUUGGUACUAUUGAUGUAUUGUGAUUAUAUUCAGACUUGAUUGGCAUAUGAGACAUGUGGAAAUUAAUGGAUGAAAUGAAAAUAAUAAAUGAUAUUGGCUCAUGUGGCAGUGGAAAUGUAUCAUUGUGGUUGGUUGUGGAAAUAUAUCAUGUGAUUGGUUGUGAAAAUACUCAUUGUGAUUGGUUGUGAGCAUUACAUCUUCAUAUCAUACUCAUUCAUGAAACAUUGGUACCACCAUAGCAACAUCUGAGAAACACUGGUAACACCUUUUUAAAAAAAUAGUGUGAUAACCUUAUAAAACCCUUUUCGAGGGAUAUGCUGGAAAAGAGAUAUGAGAUAUAUGGAUUGUAUACGGAUUGACAAACCCUCCAUGGGUCCUACGUAGGAAAGCUUUACCUCCGUAGGUGUAUAUGGGGAUUGUGCGACGAUCCCGGAGGUUGUGCGAUGACCUCGUGCAUUAUCAUCAUCAUCAUCAUCAUUAUAUACAUUGCACUUAAUUUAUUGUGUUUAUGUUGUGUUGUAUUUCCUUAUUGACUUGUCAUCUAUGUAUUUUUCUUACCUUCCUUUUCUUGUAUUUUAUGAUCUUGUAUCUACAUGUUCUCUCUAGUUCUAUUGGUAUGUGACAUAAUGUAUACUUGUGUUAUAUACCUUGGUGUGUUGUUUUAAUAUAUGUGAGAUAUAUUAGAACUGUUAGUGUAAGCGGUGUAAGCUACCGUUGUAGGACAAUUUCUGAUUGUAGGUGACGUGCCCUUAGUGUAUCUUUUGUAUGCUUUAUUUACUACUUUGCUUGGUAUGCCUAUGAUACCUACUGAGUACAAGUGGAUCGUAUUCAUGCCUACUGUGUCAUUUCGGUGCAGGUCUUAGCUCGAGUGCACCUCAGCUUGAUUGACUCAGGGGAUUGUUGGAGCUUUCAAGGUAGCGGUUGGACAUUCAUACGUUCGAAGUUCACCUCUAUCUUUCUAUAAUUGUUAUGUCUUUAUUAGUAUUCGGAGACAGUUAUUAUUCCUUUAUGGUUAUUUUUUUUCGAUGUAUUUGACUCUUGGAUUGUAUUAGUAGUUCUUACAUUAUUGACACCUGGUUUUGGGUAUGAUUGGUAUUUUGGAUAAGUUCUUUCCGCAUUGUUAUGAUUACUUUAUAGUUCGGCUUCAUUUUAGAAGACUUACCAUGGGA
rnacentral:lncRNA from 1 species